rnacentral:rRNA from 1 species
AGAGGAAGUAAAAGUCGUAACAAGGUUUCGUUAAAAGAUCCUUCUUUGAAGCCUAUCUACACAACGACUAUAACCAUGUGUGAGUCUAGAACAUGUUCACUCUAGGCGACGUCACCUCUGUGCUGGGACCCUACAGUCCAUCUAUAGCGGACCAGCAGCCAGGUCAAAUCUGGUCCACAGAUUAAGCGGUGGCGGUCCUCAGCGUCGUUGGGAUUAAGAUAUAAUCGGUGUCCAUUGUUGACGAAUGGUCGAGAGACGUUCCGUAGGUGAACCUGCGGAAGGAUCAUUA